rnacentral:tRNA from 1 species
GGAAGAUUGGGUGAGUGGCUUAAACCAGUAGUUUGCUAAAUUGCCGUGGGGGCAACCCCACCGUGGGUUCGAAUCCCACAUCUUCCGCCA